GUCAUUUCACGAUAAUAUGCUUGAAAAAUAUGUUUUCAAACACGGACUUUCACUUUGUUCACAAUAUUUAUUUCAGCAAAAAAUGUAUGACACAAAUGGAUAUAUAAAGAAUAUUUUCUUGACUUGUUUAUUUCACUGCAGCUAAACCAACUUUUUAGAUUGUUUACUUGGGGAAAACAAUUAUUUCAAAAUAUCUGUUCAAACUUGGGUUUUUUUGCUGUUAUGUGGCCGAAUACAUGGACAUUUUAACAAAAAUAGAUAGCUUUAUUGGAGUGAGUAUACAUGAGACAUGUUAAAUAACUUUCUGACUUUCGGUUGCAUAUUUCUCUCAAAAUAAAGUCAAUUCUGGUGUACAUCGUAUUUUGACCAUCGUUAGGCUACGAUUUUCAAACUUCUUCGGCAGUUUUUGUACUUUAAAAAUUCUUUCACUUCUCGGUUUUGGCGCGAAAACCAGAGCUGGCAGUUGCAUCACACACGUCCAGAGCGGGCCGGAUGCAAACAACCGGCCCGCUCUAAAAUGCUCCUAGGCCUCAGCCAAUCAGAUUGCUUCAUUUUCACUGAUAAAAAUUAAACACUUCAUAUUUAUUACGAAAAAUUCAACCUUUCAACAUUGACUUGGAGGAACGGGGGAUACCUAUUUAGAGAAAGACCAUUCGAGGCCAAUGUCUGUGGAUUUCUCCACAAAGUGUUGCAUUGUAGCUCAUCUGAACUAAACAGUCGAUAGAACUACGUGCGUGUACUGAAUGUUAAUGAGGAAAAUUGCUUAAAUAUUUCGAGAUAUACUAGGCAUAUUUGUGUAUUUAUUGGUAAAAUUGGGAGGAAAUGUUAAAUUAAGUUUUAAGAAAUAUAUUACGUGACUCAUGCAGGCAUGAUUAUAUAUAAAAUAUGACAUAUAAGUAUUCUUUAUUAAGACGUCGGUCAUGGAUAUAUUUCCGGUCCUUUGCAGCAGGCCUGAAAAACUUUGCAUAACAAUAUCUGGAGCUUGUCUUACUCCUUUGUCUAAAAAUUGAAUUUAUUUCCAAGUAUGCUUAUAGUACAUUACAUUUACCGAGUUAUAUUAUUUAUUUAUGUUUACAUAUUUGGAAGAAGGACUAUAAUAAACUCAAAAGGCUUUUGCGAGUAGUCCUUCUUCAGAUAAUACUUAGCUAUAAUGUUAAUAUAUGUCUAUUUCUAAUAUCUAUCAGCUAAACAUUGCGGUUCAUCAGUUCAAUUGGAGUACAUAUAGUUAAAUUAUAUGCGGAACAAUUACUAAAUACAUUCUAUAUAAUCGUACUCUAAAAGUUGUUUUUUAUUCCCUAGUGUACACUAAUCAUUAUGUUUCUAAUUUUAUUCUAUAUAACAUGACGUUAUUUUUUUUUUUUUUUUUUCAAAUAUAUUUUCAUUUCCGUUUUGAAUUUCUUUUUUGUACAUGAAUCUUUUAUUUUUUUUUGGUAUUCCAUUCCAUAUAUCUGUUCCCCUAUAUUUUAUUGAAAAUUUUCCAUAAUUUGUUCUAUUGCCUUUUUUAUGGAUCAAAUUUGUACUUCUUGUAUUAUGCUUAUGAAUUUCGCUAUUCAAAGUGAAAUAGUUCUCAAAAAAGGUAGGUAAAUUUCCUUUUGCGUAAUCGUACAUAAAAAGGCUAAUGCAUAGUUUGUUAAGUUGCACAAUUUUUAACAGUUUUGUUUUUCGAAAAAGUGGUACCGAUUUUGCAUUAUAUGAACUUAAUGUGAUGAUUCUAACUGCUCGUUUUUGUAUUUUUAGAAUCUUUUUUAGUUUUGAGGGAUAAUUAUUUGCCCAAACUGCAUUACCGCAAUAUAGAAAAGGGUAAAUUAGUGUGUUGUAUAAUGUUGUUAAUGUGUCACUUUUUAGGAAGUUGCGUGUUUUGUUGAGUAUGCCAGUUGUUUUGGCAAUUUUAUUAGCUACAUAGUUUAUAUGAUCAUUCCAAGUUAAGUGUUGAUCUAUUAUCAUUCCUAGAAAUUUCGUAUUUUUGACAUGAGCAAGAUUAU
rnacentral:lncRNA from 1 species